rnacentral:tRNA from 1 species
AAGGGGUUAGUCUAACUAAGACUAUUAAUUUCGACUUAAUAAAUUCUGACUACACCAGAACCCCUAA